GCCGUCCGGCGGGGCUGCGAGUCCCGCGGGCGGCGCGGAAGCGGCGGCCGGGAAGCCAUGUCGCCUUUGUCUGCGGCCCUGGCGGCCCUGCGGGUGUACGCGGUGGGAGCGGCGGUGGUCGUGGCGCAGCUGCUGCGCCGCCGCCUCCGGGGCUUCGCGGAGCCAGUUUUCCCCCUACAACUCGAGCGUGUCGCUAUAGUGACCGGUGGGACCGAUGGAAUUGGAUAUUCGACAGCGAAGCAUCUGGCCAAAUUGGGCAUGCACGUUAUCAUAGGUGGAAAUAACCAGGGCAAAGCCGAAGAAGCUGUGAGGAAGAUAAAAGAGGAAACCCUCAAUGACAAAGUGGAAUUUCUAUAUUGUGACCUGGCGUCCAUGAGGUCUAUUCAGCAGUUCGUCCAGAGGUUCAAGAUGAAGAAAAUCCCGCUCCACGUCCUGGUCAAUAACGCUGGUGUAAUGAUGGUGCCGCAGAGGACCACCGAGGACGGCUUUGAGGAGCACUUUGGUGUGAACUACCUGGGGCACUUCCUGCUGACCAACCUCCUCCUGGACACCCUGCGGGAGUCGGGCGCCCCCGGCCGCAGCGCAAGGGUGGUGACCGUGUCCUCGGCCACACACUACGUCGGGGAACUGAACUUGGACGACCUUCAGAGCAGCAAGAGCUACUCGGCGCACGCGGCGUACGCCCAGAGCAAGCUGGCCCUGGUGUUCUUCACGUACCACCUGCAGGCGCUGCUGGAGGCCACGGGCAGCCCCGUGACCGCCAACGUGGCCGACCCCGGCGUGGUGGACACCGACCUGUAUAGACACGUCUUCUGGGGCACACGGCUCAUUAAGAAGCUGUUCGGCUGGUGCUUAUUCAAGACCCCGGAUGAGGGAGCCUGGACCUCUGUCUACGCGGCGGUCACCCCAGCGCUGGAAGGCCGUGGCGGCCGCUAUCUUUACAACGAGAAAGAGACCAAGUCACUGGCGGUCACGUACGACCUGGAGCUUCAGCGACAGCUGUGGGCCAGAAGUUGCCGGAUGACAGGCAUCGCCGAUGUGACCCAGGAGGCCUUCCGGGGUUAGCCACCCGCCGGGGAGACCGUGAUCCGCCAGGCGCUCGCAGGGUCUGCAGACGCCUCAUCUUUCAGCAGCGUGACGGCCGCCCUCUACGCCUUGGAAACAGAUGAAGAAGAUGUUAUGAAUUCUGUGUCGUGCAACCAGGAGACGUUGGUGUAAAAGGACAAGAGACCAGGACGUGUACGUUUGAGGUCCUCACCCCCUCGCCUGCAUCCUGCUGUGGUUGGCAGAGCUGAGACCCCAGCGUCUGGGACUGUUCGUGUGGUGGCCUGAGAGGAACAAACCAGGGCCCCUUCUGCAGGUGCGCAGACUCUGCAGGACGUCCGCUCGGAUAAGGAACAUCCCGACACCCUUCCCGGGAGAACCAUAGGGUGACAAGGAGGCUCCCGGAGACCAUGGACCAGCACGAGGAAGAGAGCUGCCAGACGGUCAGAGAUUCCUGACCCCCUUCAUCACAGUUGCAGGAGAGGUGAUGAUUACGGUGUGAACCCACAAGACGAUCUGUGGGUCCUGGUGGCCCGUGGCUCAGAUCACUGUGUGAAGAUGGGGGCACGUGGUCCCAGUGGAAGACCCUGCUUAUUCAAACAGCUCACUAUUAUGUCGUGUAUAAGAGUGUCCUGGGUGGCUGUAACACAGGACCACAAACUGGGAGUCUGAAAAGAGCAGAAAUUCAUCCAGCCCCUGGUCCUGGAGACCAGACGUCUGAGGUCAAGGUGUCCCAGGGCUGUGCUUCCUCCAGAGACCCCAGGGGAGGGUCCUUCCUGCCUCUUCCAGCUUCUGGGGGCUUCAGGGGUCCCUGGGCUUGUGGCCGCCACCCUCAUCCAAGAGGACCUCAUCUCAGACCCUUCGCUUCCAUCCGGAUAAUCAAGAAUGAUCUCUUCAUCUCAAGAUCCUUCAUUAGUUACAUCUGCCAAGACCCUUUUGCCAACAAAGUCAUAUCCACAGGUAACAGGGUUUAGGACGUGGUCAUAUCUUUUUGGUAGAAAGUAUUCAAUCCACUGCAUGGUACAUGAAUUGGAUACUUGGAAACUCAGGAAACAUCCAUUCCUUUUCUGGUGACCUGGAAAACCAUGGAGGUCACGGCUUCUUCUAUAUGUACCCAAGGCCGCUUUCCUGGGCGAGUGACCCAUGUAGCUUACACAGGACCCUGGCCUCAUAAGGAUGCCUAUUGGCUUAAUGCCCUAUGACCGCCAUCUUGAAAUUCUUAAUGAAGCGUGAACAAGGACCCACAUUUUCAUUUUGCCCUGGAACUGCCAAUGCGAUAGCCCUCUUUGCUCACAUUCCUUCCAACCUCAAGAAAGAGGAGCAAGUCUGCAGCCAAUAAGGACACCCCCACCCCCAGCACACCCUCCAUCCAGCCACUGAUGUGCUCAAGCCUACCUUUCAUGGGUGGUGAAGACCUCUCCCCAAGAUCCAGUAAGGCUAGUGGGUUUUGGCUGCACAUUGGGGGAGCCUCUGAAAACCACUAAUGCUCAGCUCCACCAUCAACAGAAUCCCCAAGUUCGUUCCUCUGGGUACCAGCAUUUAUUAGACCUCCUCAAGCCAUCCUCUUGUUCAGGCAAGUUUGAGACCCUCUGGGCCAGGCAAAUGCAGACUGAAGCUUCCAGCCCUGGGCGCCAGCCCCUCCCAGAACUGCUCAGAUGUUCUGCUAAGCCCUACAGCCCCGACUGAUGUGUUUCAGAACUAGAAUUACUUUGUAUGUUAAAACCAAGAUGGAGACAUACCUUGUCUAAUACUUCCGGACAGCUAGGAUGAUGUACUUCAAAGCAGGAUCUUGACUUCCAGGAAGAUCCCAACCUUGGAGCAUUUGCACAUCACUGGAGAGCCCUUUACGGCUUGAGGUCAUAGUACACAAGUGCCAGCUACUCUUAGCGGUAUCACAAAGUUGGUUCCCAAGUACAGGCUCAGGAUGAGGAGGCGGGGUGAGUCCUGUCCAGUCCGACAUCCUCUGUCACUUUGAGAACAAGCUUGCUGGGCCUUGAAAGAUGCUGCAGUCCCUGGGCGAAGAUAGGCUCUGAGAGCAAUUUGGACCGUGUAGGACCCUGGCCUCACAUGGCCCCUCCCCAUUGCAUGACCGCCCUUAUGUCACUCGUCCACCAGGGGAGAGAGAGGACACAGUUCUGGAGAAGUUACCAUGUUCCCUCGACACCUGAUUGUGGAACAUUCCUCAGAGCUCAGAGACACUUCCCAGCAGCUGGAGAAGUCUCGUGGACCACUGGAUUCUUUUCCCAUUUGGGUUAUUACAGAAUAUUGAGUGGAGUUCCCUGUGCUAUACAGAUUCCCCAUAGAAGCAAUAUCAUAUGGUAUUUGUCUUUGUCUGGCUUACUUCACCUAGUCUGAUCAUCUCUAGGUCCAUCCAUGUUGCUGCAAAUGGCAUUAUUUCAUUCUUUUUAUGGCUGAGUAAUAUUCCAUUGUAUAUAUGUACCACAUCUAAAAAGAAGGCGAAUUCUGCCCACAAGAAUGAAGUUGGAAGAGAAGCUCGACCUUCCAGUGAAAAUACAGACCUUAAAAACUAGUUAAAAUAUCAAGUAUGAUCUACUCCACUCAAGGGGAUUUCAACCCAAUAGCCGAAACUCAGGAGAGUCCCUCGACUUUAUGGAAGACCCUAUUGAAUAUGCAGAAAAUGGAAGUGGGAUGGUCCGAAUCCACAGAGACGAACUCCCGUGCCAUCUGUAGAAUCGUUGACUCAGUCCCUGGACUGAGCAUCUCCCUAAGAGACCGCAAACUCCGGCAAAGGAGCACUCAAGUGUCUUCGGCUCGCCUUCCAAAGGGCAGCAGUAUCUCUACCUGCUGCCCCAUCUGGCUCGACCCGUGAGCAGCAGCUGGAGGAGGGUUGCUGCGUCAGGUGUGACCCCACGCCUCUGCAGGGUUCCCCUCUCGUUGCCAACAUCCCGGCAUGCAGAACACAGUGCAGGGAUUCGGAUGCACCGUGGCUUACAUUCCGGGGACACGGCUCUCCAUGAAUAACGCCUGAAAAAGAAUGCACGGCCAAGGAGCACUGCACCGAGGUCAAGGCGGCCGAGGCUGAAUCGCUGGUUUGUCUGCAGGGGUUCUGCAUUGCAAUUGCAAUCGAACUUCAAAGCCCCGGCGGGCGGUUCCUGCAGCAGGAAUGCAAUCGCCACGUCCAACCUUCAGAUCUCGGGUUGCAGAAGAGGCAGCCCACCCUCAAGCCUUUGCAGCCCAAGAGAAAGAUGCUUUCCACUGCGGGGCUGUGAGGAUCUGCCGGUUCCUGUAUCCUGAAUCUCCAGGAGAGGAGCAGACCGCUUCCCAGGGGAAUCUGAGUCAGCUAAGUAAAUGCUGCAGCCGUUUGAUGGAGACAUCAAGUGAUUUCUAUUGGGGAACCUCUGAAAAAUAGUGUAAAGCCAUUACCUUCUUUGAACAGACCAUCUGUCUCCUGGUAUCACUGAAAAACAGCCAUCACAGCCAAGCCUGAACCAAGGGACUCGAACGCAGGAAGCAGUGCCACUCGAGGAUGUCAGGGCAGCGCCGACAGCCUUUAAUACGUCAAGGAUUCAGCAGUGUCCAUCACAAACCUUUCCUUCUCUCUGAUUGCCUGAGAUUUUUGUCACGAGAUGUCUGGGAUCCUGAUGAGUCACUAGGGACGUGAAAUCGUAACUAGAAGAAACGCCACCAAGGAAACAAUGUGUCACAGGUCAGCGUAUGUGGUCCACCCUUCCUGACAACAUCUCACAACCACAGAACGGACGGGACGCCUGUGUUAUCCCGACGUAAAUAUGGACCCCAGGAGAAACCAGCUCUUUGGACCCACGGUAACUGUUCCUGGGAGGGCAUUAUUGGGGGUGGAUUUCCCAAGAUGCUGCUUACGAGUCAUUCCUCGGAAAACCCGAGAUUGUAGAGAACACUGAUGCAGAUCACAGGAUGGGGAUGACCUAAAAAUGGACCCCAGGGGAAAAACAGUUAAGUGGGGUUAUUAUGGCUCUACCGGUCCGACCAAAUAAGGGAUGGUGGAUUUAUGAUCAGAUUCUGAAUUCUAGAACAGGAAGGGAUCUGGAAUGAACAGAAGUGCAGACGCCCGGGGCUCAGCAAUGUGCAGGUUUGUCACGACUGUUUCUGGACCCAGAGGGAACCGGGUAAGGAUGGCAAGACUCAUCAGGGCUGUCCCCACAGGAUGUAAGGUCUACUUAGCAACUGGCCCCUCCCUCCCUGGGGCCAUGUGUCAUUACUCAGCCCGUGGGGGUCAGGGUAGUUCAGAGGGUACUUGCUGAGGUUGCAGACCUGGAGAUCCAGGAUUUGGGGGAAGUUGGUGCCGAGAAGUGUCCCUUCCUUUUCUUCUCUUUUCCACGAGGAAGCUCAGCUCAUCCGCGGGUGUGGAAAGCUGAGAAUGAGCUUCAGACCUGCAGGCUGGCUCAGUGUCCGUGAGGAUGGAUGUCCCCCUCACCAAGCACCGCAGGGAGGCACAGGGUCAUCAGGGAAGGGCUUCGAGAAGCACGAAAAGCCGCGUGGACGGACCCCCGGGGAUGGACAUGAUGACGAAGGUGAUGUACUGUCUGUCCACGGAGCAUCUCCCGUUUCCUAUCACAGGGUCCUACAAGCGCCUUUUCAUUUCCUCCUGUCCUUAGGGUGUGUUUCUUAAUACGGAUGAGCGUUUGAAAUUAGGUUGUGAUGUUUGUCUGAUUUUGGUGCCCCCUCCCCUUGAAGGUGGGCUCUGUGGAGCAGAGGUGGGAUCUAACUCACUGUGACACGACAGCGUCCAGCCGGUCUCCAGCGAUGGGGUCCUGAGGAGGAGUCUUAAGGAAAGUGAUACGUGGCCUUCAACGUCUUUAGUCUGAAGGGAAGCAGCCUCGAAGAAACCUCGCCCUGGAUGUCCAGAGCUCCACAGUAACCUCUUCAUUCGCCUAUGAAAGAAGUAGUUCUAAAACUGUCAGCUGCUCCUUCCUUUCUCCUGCCUCUGGACCCUCGUCCUCCCCUGACCCUGCAUGAAGAUGGUCCCUGAGGUCUGACCCUGGCGUCCUCUCCCUGAUCAGCGUGAUGGGGCCAAUGGAUUCUGCCAUCUCUCACCUUUAUGGAAGCUCCAAAACCUGUCGCUCCCUCCAAAGUGAAGUCCCUCCAGUAAACCUCUUCCUUCCUGAACUUGGUCCGUCACUAACAAAGUUCCCUCCCCCAUCAAACAUCACAUCUGCUAAGCUACCUGAAAUCCAGACGUUGGGAAUUGAUUUCUGUGGCUGAGGAAGUGGGUCUCACACCUUUGUCUCACCCUAACACAAGCCAGGAAACCAAGACCCCCGCCCGGGUGGAGGAUGGUGACCACAUGCUGACCACAAGCACUAGAUCCCAGGCUGGUUGGAACCAGAAGGCUGAUGAUUGAGAUUCCCCGAAACAUCACCCUGUUGCCUCACCACCGACCAAUCAGAAGAAGGUCCAGGAGCUGAUCAGCCAUCCUAGGACCCUCUCCCCAACACUGUCUUUAAAAACCCUUCCCUGAAAGCCAUCGGGGAGCUCAGGUCCUUUGAGCAUGAGCUACCCCGUUCUCCUUGCUUGGCACUUGCAAUAAACGCUGUACUUUCUUUCACCACUUCCCGGGGUCAGUAGAUUGGCUUUACUGCACAUCUGGACCCCAGUGGACCCAAGUAUGGUUUGGUAACACUGG